AUUGGGUAGGGGAGCGUUGUAUACGCGGUGAAACAGUAGCGUAAGCGGCUGUGGAGUGUAUAGAAGUGAGAAUGCCGGAAUGAGUAGCGCGAAUGCAGUGAGAAUCUGCAUGGCCGAAAGCCUCAGGUUUCUGGAGGAAGGUUCGUCCGCUCCAGGUUAGUCGGGAGCUAAGGUGAGGCCUAACGGCGUAGCCGACGCACAGACGGUAGAGAUUCCGUCACCACCAAAAGAGUUAAGCACAGGGACACAUUUGAAGUCUCGGAGCCGGGUGUUGGUUCCGGUAGCGAUCGAGGGAAAUUAGUACCGAAGUCCGGGAUGGAAGAUGGCGAGAAAAGCUGUGUGUAUUUCUGCGGUGCCCGAACCGCAAACCGACACAGGUAGGUAGGAAGAAGAUUCUAAGGCCAACGGGAGAAGGGUUGUUAAGGAACUCGGCAAAUUGACCCCGUAACUUCGGGAGAAGGGGUGCUCCAGCGAUGGAGCCGCAGAGAAUCGGCCCAAGCAACUGUUUACCAAAAACACAGGUUUGUGCUAAAUCGAAAGAUGACGUAUACGAGCUGACGCCUGCCCGGUGCUGGAAGGUUAAGAGGAGAUGUGCAAGCAUUGAAUCGAAGCCCCAGUGAACGGCGGCCGUAACGAUAACGGUCCUAAGUAGCGAAAUUCCUUGUCAGGUAAGUUCUGACCCGCAUGAAAGGCGUAAUGAUUUGGGCACUGUCUCGACAGCCCGCCCGGCGAAAUUGUAGUACCGGUGAAGAUGCCGGUUACCCGCGACAAGACGGAAAGACCCCAUGGAGCUUUACUGUAGCCUAAUAUUGGGUUUCGAUGUUGCAUGCACAGGAUAGAUGGGACACUGGGAAGUGAUCGCUUUGGCGGUCAUGGAGUGGCCGUUGGGAUACCAUCCUUGCGAUAUUGGAAUUCUAACCUGCGCCUUUGAAUCAAGGCGGGGGACAUUGUUAGGUGGGCAGUUUGACUGGGGCGGUCGCCUCCUAAAGAGUAACGGAGGCGUUCAAAGGUUCGCUCAGCUUGAACGGAAAUCAAGCAAAAGAGUGCAAACGCAGAAGCGAGCCUAACUGCGAGACUGACGGGUCGAGCAGUAACGAAAGUUGGAGUUAGUGAUCCGGUGGUAUGUGAGUGGAAAUGCCAUCGCUCAACGGGUAAAAGUUACCCUGGGGAUAACAGGCUGAUCUCCCCCAAGAGUCCACAUCGACGGGGAGGUUUGGCACCUCGAUGUCGGCUCAUCGCAUCCUGGGGCUGUAUUCGGUCCCAAGGGUUUGGCUGUUCGCCAAUUAAAGCGGUACGCGAGCUGGGUUCAGAACGUCGUGAGACAGUUCGGUCCCUAUCUGUCGUGGGCGCAGGAUAUUUGAUGGGAGCUGUUCCUAGUACGAGAGGACCGGAGCGGACGUACCUCUGGCGCACCAGUUGUUCUGCCAAGAGCAUAGCUGGGCAACUAUGUACGGAUCGGAUAAACGCUGAAAGCAUCUAAGCGUGAAGCCGACCCAAAGAUAAGAUAUCCCACUGAUUUGACCAGGUAAGAUCCCUUGAAGACUACAAGGUUGAUAGGCACAAUGUGUAAGUGGAGUGAUCCAUUCAGCAAGCGUGUACUAAUAGAUCGAGGGCUUGACU
rnacentral:rRNA from 1 species